GACCAGAGAAGAAAUAGCUUGUACUAAACGAAAAAUUAUACACCACAAUAUAUAUUCUUGACAAAAGCUAGAAAACACAGGCACAAACACGAGGGAUUCAAAGCUGCCAAAAUGCCAAAAUCACUGGAAAGAGACGUAGGCAAAUGGAACACAACCCAACAAAACUUAGUUUUACUCGCUAUAAUACAAUUUCUUGUUUCAGAAGAGAAACGGAAACAUAAUACUGUUCCUUUUCAUUAAUAACCUCCAUCCAUUAUUAGAUCAACAACAUGACAAAAAUCGACAGCUAAGAAUCACAAGUCAAUAGACAAAAUCUUAAGCAAAUCACCAAAAGAUAGACCGUCUUUAUCAUCCCCACAGCCCAAUUUCAUCAUAGCCUUAAUAUCAUCAUCGCGGGCAUCAAACCCAGCCCACUGCAUGUAACUCUUCAAAUCUUCGUGGCUCAAUUUCCCAUCCCCGUCUUUGUCCAUAACCUUAAACACGUCUUCCAUGACCCCGUUAUUACGACUCCUCUUCUUUCCAUUAUCGUCCAAAACACGCUUGAAUUCCUCGUACUCCACGAAUCCAUCUUUGUUGAAGUCCGCCACAGAUAUCAUCGACCCUAUAACAUCGUCGUCGUUGGGGUCGCCGCUUGACAAUCCGGCGUAAAACUUUCGAAGAUCGUCUCUGCUUAUUUUCCCAUCAUGGUCGGCGUCGAGAAUAUCAAAAGCUGCCCUCAAAUCCGACGUAGUUUGGGUGUUUGAAGCUAAACUUCUACCGGACGGACACAUAUUGUAACUUUCAGAAAAUGAGAAGAGAGACGAGAGGGCUUUGGUGUUUUUGAAUAAGCUUAGGCUUUAAGAGAGAAAUGGAAGAGCUGGGUUGUUUUUUAUAGGGGGGAGGGAAAAGUGGGCCCAAGCGAAUAUAGGGGUCCACUAUAAUAGAGGCAGGAAACGAGGCUUGUUUGACAAGCUGCGAGACAGUGAGAGUCUAUGAAUUAGCCACGUUGGACUUUUUGAAUUGUGAUACGUAUGCGGUGACGUAGGGAAUCUGUUCGUUGGAAUACCGAGUCUGAGUCUAUUGGUAGUGACUGUUAGGUUUGUUUUGUUGUGGUGAAGUUACAGAUACCUCCUUCCUUGUUUUCAUUCACAAACCUACUUGCUUUUGAUUUUCAUGGGCAUUUUAGACAUAAUAAUAAAUGUCUUAUUUCCA
rnacentral:misc_RNA from 1 species